UACGGGGGGAGCAAGCGUUGUUCGGAUUCAUUGGGCGUAAAGGGUGCGUAGGUGGCGUCGUAAGUCGGGUGUGAAAUUUCGGAGCUUAACUCCGAAACUGCAUUCGAUACUGCGGUGCUUGAGGACUGGAGAGGAGACUGGAAUUUACGGUGUAGCAGUGAAAUGCGUAGAGAUCGUAAGGAAGACCAGUGGCGAAGGCGGGUCUCUGGACAGUUCCUGACACUGAGGCACGAAGGCCAGGGGAGCAAACGGG
rnacentral:rRNA from 1 species